GUGCCAGCCGCCGCGGUAAUACGGAGGGUGCAAACGUUGCUCGGAAUCACUGGGCGUAAAGCGCACGUAGGCGGCCUUGUAAGUUGGAUGUGAAAGCCCUGGGCUCAACCCAGGAAGUGCAUCCAAAACUGCAUGGCUUGAGUACCGGAGGGGUUCAGAGAAUUCCCGGUGUAGAGGUGAAAUUCGUAGAUAUCGGGAGGAAUACCAGUGGCGAAGGCGCUGAACUGGACGGUAACUGACGCUGAGGUGCGAAAGCGUGGGUAGCAAACAGGAUUAGAUACCCCCGUAGUCC
rnacentral:rRNA from 1 species